rnacentral:misc_RNA from 1 species
UACGAGAGCCCCAAGCGUUAUCCGGAUUUAUUGGGCGUAAAGCGUCUGCAGGUGGUGUAACACGUCCUUUCGUUAAAUCUCACGGGCUCAACCCUGAGACCGCGGAGGAUACGAUUACACUUGAGGCCGGAAGAGGCGAGCGGAAGUGCUGGUGUAGGGGUUAAAUCCAUUAAUAUCAGCAAGAACACCGAAUGCGAAGGCAGCUCGCUGGGACGUGCCUGACACGCAGAGACGAAAGCGUCGGGAGCGAAUGGG